rnacentral:rRNA from 1 species
UACGUAGGGUGCGAGCGUUGUCCGGAAUUAUUGGGCGUAAAGAGCUCGUAGGCGGUUUGUCGCGUCUGCUGUGAAAACCUGGGGCUUAACCCUGGGCCUGCAGUGGGUACGGGCAGACUAGAGUGCGGUAGGGGAGACUGGAAUUCCUGGUGUAGCGGUGAAAUGCGCAGAUAUCAGGAGGAACACCGGUGGCGAAGGCGGCGACCUGGGCCAAUAUUGACGCUGAGGUGCGAAAGCGUGGGGAGCAAACAGG